UGGGGAAUAUUGGGCAAUGGGCGCAAGCCUGACCCAGCAACGCCGCGUGAAGGAAGAAGGCUUUCGGGUUGUAAACUUCUUUUCUCGGGGACGAACAAAUGACGGUACCUGACGAAUAAGCCACGGCUAACUACGUGCCAGCAGCCGCGGUAAUACGUAGGUGGCAAGCGUUAUCCGGAUUUACUGGGUGUAAAGGGAGCGUAGACGGAAGUGCAAGUCUGAAGUGAAAGCCCGGGGCUCAACCCCGGGACUGCUUUGGAAACUGUAUUUCUAGAGUGCUGGAGAGGUAAGUGGAAUUCCUAGUGUAGCGGUGAAAUGCGUAGAUAUUAGGAGGAACACCAGUGGCGAAGGCGGCUUACUGGACAGUGACUGACGUUGAGGCUCGAAAGCGUGGGGAGCAAACAGGAUUAGAUACC
rnacentral:rRNA from 1 species